rnacentral:rRNA from 1 species
UCCAGCCAUACCGCGUGGGUGAAGAAGGCCUUCGGGUUGUAAAGCCCUUUUGUUGGGAAAGAAAAGCAGUCGGUUAAUACCCGAUUGUUCUGACGGUACCCAAAGAAUAAGCACCGGCUAACUUCGUGCCAGCAGCCGCGGUAAUACGAAGGGUGCAAGCGUUACUCGGAAUUACUGGGCGUAAAGCGUGCGUAGGUGGUUGUUUAAGUCUGUCGUGAAAGCCCUGGGCUCAACCUGGGAAUUGCGAUGGAAACUGGGCGACUAGAGUGUGGCAGAGGGUAGUGGAAUUCCUGGUGUAGCAGUGAAAUGCGUAGAGAUCAGGAGGAACAUCCGUGGCGAAGGCGACUGCCUGGGCCAACACUGACACUGAGGCACGAAAGCGUGGGGAGCAAACAGGAUUAGAUACCCUGGUAGUCCACGCCCUAAACGAUGCGAAUAAGGGGUUGGGUGCAAUUUGGCACGCAGUAUCGAAGCUAACGC